rnacentral:tRNA from 1 species
GCCCGGGUGGCGGAAUUGGUAGACGCAAGGGACUUAAAAUCCCUCGGCCGCAAGGCUGUACCGGUUCGAUUCCGGUCCCGGGCACCA